rnacentral:rRNA from 1 species
GUCUUUUUGAUGAUAAUUUAAAGUCUAACCUGCUCAAUGAAAAUUUAAAUAGCCGUAGUAUUUUGACUAUGCUAAGGUAGCAUAGUAAUUAGUUUCUUAAUUAGGAGCUGGAAUGAAAGGUUGGAUGAGAAAUUUACUGUCUCAGUUUAAUUUAAAUGAGAAUUUUAUUUUUAAGUUAAAAAGCUUAAAUGAUUUUAAAAGACGAGAAGACCCUAUAGAGUUUUAUAUAAAGUUAUAUACUGAGAAUUAAAGAAUUAUAUUUGAUUUAUUUAAAAUUAUAUUUAGUUGGGGUGAUUGAAAAAUUAAAUAAACUUUUUUUAAUAUUAAAUACCAUUAAUUUAUGUUUUAUUGAUCCAUUAUUUAUGAUUAUAAGAUUAAAUUACCUUAGGGAUAACAGCGUAAUUUUUUUUAGAGUUCUUAUCGAAUAAAAAGUUUGCGA